UACGUAGGGCGCAAGCGUUAAUCGGAAUUACUGGGCGUAAAGCGUGCGCAGGCGGCUUUGCAAGACAGAUGUGAAAUCCCCGGGCUCAACCUGGGAACUGCAUCUGUGACUGCAUAGCUAGAGUACGGUAGAGGGGGAUGGAAUUCCGCGUGUAGCAGUGAAAUGCGUAGAUAUCGUGAGGAAGACCAGUGGCGAAGGCGGGUCUCUGGACAGUUCCUGACGCUGAGGCGCGAAGGCCAGGGGAGCAAACGGG
rnacentral:rRNA from 1 species